CGAGAGGCAUGACUGGUGUUCUAAGCUGGAAGGAGUAUUUGUAUGGCGCCUGUCUGCGUAGAGGGAAAAGGAUCGUGUGAUAAAUGAAAUAAAUAUACUGGACUUGAUCCUCAUUGCAAGAAAGGCCUGCAGUGUUUAUGUGGAAAGUUUCAACCCAGCAAUGUGAGAAGAACAAGGUCAGGCUUGGUUAUGUCGCCGACAAGCGAAAUCUCACAAUUAAGCUGCUUACGUCUUAAAUCGAUGGAGAUGGUUGAGCUGAACCCAACCUUUUGUCCAUUGAGAGUUUACACACAAAUCCACGUUGGGUGAGGCAUGGUUGUAUCAUCAAGGCCCAGCAAAAGUCAAGGACAGUCUUCUCCCUGCGUUGCCUGGAGCUUAGCGGGUAUUUAUGACAUUCUGUAAAGGGAGGUCGGACACUCCUAAGUGAUCAUGCUUAAUCUUUUAAUCUCCCUUCUCCCUCCCACUAGUCUUCUCCAAGAGAAGACAAAAGUCCCAACCCAAUUUGUGAGUAAGGUAAUCAUUUGUACGAUUAGACCUUGAGUGGAUCUAUGAACCUGAUUCUUUCCAGAAUCCUAGUGUUGUGCAAAUUCUCAGAUAUCAGACUUUGUACUAAAGUAGAUAACUAAAAGGGAGGUGAAGAAUUGUAGUUCAAGGAGGACUGAUUCAGGCCAUAACUGGCAAGACAGGGACACAUCUUCAAUAUAAUAACAAUGAUCGUGGUAACACUACUCACAUACUUAUCGAAGUGUCAAAUUACAUA